rnacentral:rRNA from 1 species
UACGUAGGGUGCAAGCGUUGUCCGGAAUUAUUGGGCGUAAAGAGCUCGUAGGCGGUUUGUCGCGUCGGCUGUGAAAACUGGAGGCUUAACCUUCAGCGUGCAGUCGAUACGGGCAGACUUGAGUUCGGUAGGGGAGACUGGAAUUCCUGGUGUAGCGGUGAAAUGCGCAGAUAUCGGGAAGAACACCCGUGGCGAAGGCGGCUCUCUGGGACGGUACUGACGCUGAGACGCGAAAGCGUGGGGAGCGAACAGG